rnacentral:sRNA from 1 species
GGUAAUGAUGACAAGUCUUUUGACUGCUUGUUUAUUCUCCUUUCACCAUUCUACGCCUCAAUGGCUCUUGUCGUCGUGGAUACUCAUAAAUCCAAACCUCUCCAAAUCGAAACCAAGAACGGCAGACCUCCUGCCUCUCUUCCUAUCUUCGUGCAUCUCGCGAGAUUCGAUAUCAUGACUCUCGGUUGAAGCUUGUUCUUCUGAUGAAGGGGGAGCGACAGCUUCAGCUUCAGCUCCAGCUCCAGCUCCAGUGGCAAUCGCAGCCUCUGCCUCAGGCUCAGGCCGGGAAGCUCCUUCUGCAACAGAGGACAAUGGGGCUUCGGCCAUUUCUUCCUCUGCCUCUCCCUCCCCUGCAGCUGCAGCUGCAUCCUGAGCCUCUUCCUCUUCGUCCUCGUCGGCAAUCUGCUCGAGCUCGUCCUCUGUAGGCAACUUGUCUGCCAACCUCGGGGGCGGGGAAGGCCGUCUUCUCGGGGUCGCGUCCCCAUCCCCACCCAUUGCUGCAUCUCCAUCGCCCAUGCCCAUUUCCGUUUCCAUCGCUGAAUUAUGCAGCAUGGCAUGUGCGGCGCGUACGUGCUGCGGCGAGUGCGGCCGUCUGGGUACACGUGGGCGCACGCGCAUAGGGGGUAAGCCUGCGUCGUCGAUAGUGGUCGCGGGAGGAGAACCGGGAAUGCUCUUGAGUGCAGACUCGGUCUCUUCUCUGACUGGGGGGAGGUGAAGGGACCCAUUGAGGGAGCCAUUGAGACUGUGGGUGGAACCGCUGUUGGGUGUACCAGUGAGAGAAUGGCGGCCGAGGAGGGCAGUGUCGGCUACGAUCGAGGGGGAAGCAGAGGUGGAUGCUGUGGUGGCCGUGGAAGCUGUGGAAUUUUGAGAAGACUGGGAUCCAGAGCGACGACGUUUGACUGAACGCCAGAGGGCUUUUGCGCCAGAUUUGGCUAGCUGACCGACAUCAAUCACAUCGUUAUUGCUAACAGCCAAAAAGGAAAUAAAAAAAAAAAAAACAAAAAAAGAGAAACAGAUGUGUCAGCGAAUACAAUUUUUGCGCUACGCAUAAGCGCUCGACGAUUACUCACCCAUGCUUCUCUUCAAACUGCUUGCAAUAAUUGUCCCAAUCUUCAUCACUCAUCACGACACUCUGCACUCCACCCUUUUGUCCGUGUCCCUGCAUGCCAAUGAGGUUUCGACGGGAAGCUACACCCAACGAGAUGGAGUUUCGUCUUCGGAACUCGGGAGGCACGGCAGGAAGAGGUGCAAAAUGAAUUUUUGCCUGGGAAGCCCGUCGAGAGGGAGCGGGUGACGACGGCGCGGUGUAGUUGUAGCCGAGCUGCUUGGCAUGGUUGGUGUGCAGCGAGUCGUGUGAAGAGUACGGCGAGGACGAGUGGUCGGGCGGGGAAGGGGAGCUGCCAUCGCCGCUGCCGUUGCCUUCGCCACUGCCACUGGCAUGGGAGAAUACGGAGGUAAGUGAGGAGACGGGGGAGUGGCUGCCGGUGAAGGACGAUGCGGAGAGGGAGCGCUGGGAGGCCGUGUCUGGCGCCGUGCUGCUGCUGGGCCCUCGGGGGCGGUUUGGGCCGUUGAGGAGGAUGGAGGCGGACGGUUUCUGCUGGGAGAGGGAGGGGUUCGGGGGGAUCAGCAGUGAAGGCUGGUUCUCCUGCGACAUUGUGGCGGGCAGGAAGUUGAAGAGAUGCAGCGACGAGAGAACACAAUCCACUAAUAAUAAAUGUGGCGAAAACUACCGGUAAUAUGCGUCCGCUUUCACAACAAAAUCCGGCAACCACGGCAAACGUACUCCCCCAUCUCCUGAACGUUGUCGGAUAAAAUACAUCCCAUUUACGUCCCGUUUCUUACUAUGCAUACAGCCACUGCUAACAAAAAUCGCCAGGGAACAACAAGACCUAUGCACAGAAGCUCAUAACCAGUAUUACGAGCUGGAAAAUUGUAUAAAUAUCAAUAAUAUCAAGGCGUCAAAUUUCGUGUCGGUUAACUUUGUGAAGAAAGAUGCUGUAAUAGGGGUCAGGGAUUAGGGGAGGGGACGAUUACGGGGCGACGAUCCACGCCGGGCGGCGGACGGCCAAGCAAAAAUACUUGCUUCGGCAGCCCCCCCAUUGGCCGACUCGCUCCCGAGGUGGAGGCAAAAAUCGGUUUAUCUAUUAAAUAAGGUGAAACGCGCAACGGACCGAAGUGGCGACGAUCACCGCCGGAUCACUGGAAGCAGAGGAAGGAGGGAAUUACAAUUGUUGAACUGCAUAGUCAAUCACAAUCAGCCGGCUAUCCACGGAAUUGUUUUUCGUCCUUGUUUACAUAAACAAACUCGUCAGCGUAUGCAUUUACGCGUUCCACAUGGG